ACGGCGAGUGAAGCGGCAACAGCUCAAAUUUGAAAUCUGGCGCAAGCCCGAGUUGUAAUUUGCAGAGGAUGUUUCGGGUGAAGCCACGGUCCAAGUCCCUUGGAACAGGACGUCAUAGAGGGUGAGAACCCCGUACCUGGCCGUCGGUGCCCCCCGCUGUGAAACUCCUUCGACGAGUCGAGUUGUUUGGGAAUGCAGCUCUAAAUUGGUGGUAAAUUCCAUCUAAAGCUAAAUACCGGCCAGAGACCGAUAGCGCACAAGUAGAGUGAUCGAAAGAUGAAAAGCACUUUGAAAAGAGAGUUAAAAAGUACGUGAAAUUGUUGAAAGGGAAGCGCUUGCGGCCAGACUUGCCCGCGGUUGCUCAGCCCGCCUUUUGGCGGGUGCACUCUUCCGCGGUCAGGCCAGCAUCGGUUUGGGCGGCCGGAUAAAGGCGUCGGGAACGUGGCCUCCCCUCGGGGAGGUGUUAUAGCCCGGCGCGCAAUGCGACCAGCCCGGACCGAGGUUCGCGCUUUGCUAGGAUGCUGGCGUAAUGGCCGUAAGCGGCCCGUCUUGAAACACGGACCAAGGAGUCUAACAUCUAUGCGAGUGUUUGGGUGUCAAACCCGUGCGCGUAAUGAAAGUGAACGGAGGUGGGAACCGCAAGGUGCACCAUCGACCGAUCCUGAUGUCUUCGGAAGGAUUUGAGUAAGAGCAUAGCUGUUGGGACCCGAAAGAUGGUGAACUAUGCGUGAAUAGGGUGAAGCCAGAGGAAACUCUGGUGGAGG
rnacentral:rRNA from 1 species